rnacentral:rRNA from 1 species
AACGUAGGGGGCGAGCGUUAUCCGGAUUCAUUGGGCGUAAAGAGCUUGUAGGUGGCGGCGUAAGUUGGACGUGAAAUCGCCCGGCUCAACCGGGCGGGGUCGUUCAAUACUGCGCGGCUGGAGGAGGUCAGAGGGAAGUGGAAUUCCUGGUGUAGCAGUGAAAUGCGUAGAGAUCGGGAGGAACAUCAGUUGCGAAGGCGGCUCUCUGGACCAGCACUGACACUGAGGCACGAAAGCGUGGGGAGCAAACAGG